rnacentral:rRNA from 1 species
GACGAACGCUGGCGGCGUGCUUAACACAUGCAAGUCGAACGGUAAGGCCCUUCGGGGUACACGAGUGGCGAACGGGUGAGUAACACGUGGGUGAUCUGCCCUGCACUUCGGGAUAAGCCUGGGAAACUGGGUCUAAUACCGGAUAGGACUCCUGGCUUCAUGGUUGGGGGUGGAAAGCUUUUGCGGUGUGGGAUGGGCCCGCGGCCUAUCAGCUUGUUGGUGGGGUAAUGGCCUACCAAGGCGACGACGGGCAGCCGGCCUGAGAGGGUGACCGGUCACACUGGGACUGAGAUACGGCCCAGACUCCUACGGGAGGCAGCAGUGGGGAAUAUUGCACAAUGGGCGCAAGCCUGAUGCAGCGACGCCGCGUGAGGGAUGACGGCCUUCGGGUUGUAAACCUCUUUCAGCUAUGACGAAGCGCAAGUGACGGUAGUAGCAGAAGAAGGACCGGCCAACUACGUGCCAGCCGCCGCCGCGG